ensembl:lncRNA
UUUUGCUGGAGUUCCCUGCAUACCUGAGGCCUUCCAAGGUGUGAAAUCAGAGUUUCUCAUUGCUAUGUUCCUGACAGAAUCAUAGCAGAAAGGGAAAGAUAUCAGGAAAGGAUCGCCAUGUAUUGGAGGCAUAAUUCAGUGAAAUGCCCCUUGUUCUGUCACUGGGCAUCACUGGAAAGAAACUGGAACCACUUGACUCUCAUUCAUUAGAUAUUUAUAAGCGCUGAUAAGAUCCCCUCUGUGUUCUCCAGGCUGAACAGCCCCAGAUCUCUCAGCCUUUCCUCAAAAGUGAGAUGCUCCAGGCCUCUCUUCAUCUCUGUAGUCCACUGAACUCUCUCUAGAAGUUCCCCGAGGACUUUCUUGUCCCAGGGAGCCCAGAACUAGACACAGUACUCCAGAUGUGACUCACCUGGGCAGAAGACAGGAGGAAGAUACCAAUCCUCACAUCUUCCAUUGGGAAUGAAUGGUUUACAUAAAAAGAUCCUUCAGACCAGAACACUGUCUUGAACACCUGCAAACCACGAUGUCCAGAUUUCUCUGCACUGAUGACAACUCAAGAGAGCUCUCAGGGGGCUUAGUUUGACCCUGGAGCAGUAUGGUUCUUACAAACAGAGGGUAAUUCAAAAUUCCGUUGCCAGUCUCACGUAACACUUUGUUAUUGGGCAACUGCAUGUUUUGCCUUUUAUUAAACAAACCUGGAAGUGGUAUAAAGAAGGCAGAUGAAGGUAUCGGUCAACCCACAUCCAUUUUCAUCCUGAAGUGGUUUGCAAGCACUGGAAUCUAAAAUAAAGCCAUUAAAAUUGGUACAGUCUAUCCCUGAAUGACAAUAGUGUGGACUGUGCUGAUUUAUAUGAUCCCUAAAGUG